rnacentral:rRNA from 1 species
UACGUAGGGUGCAAGCGUUGUCCGGAAUUAUUGGGCGUAAAGAGCUCGUAGGCGGUCUGUUGCGUCGGCUGUGAAAACCCGGGGCUCAACUCCGGGCCUGCAGCCGAUACGGGCAGACUAGAGUUCGGCAGGGGAGACUGGAAUUCCUGGUGUAGCGGUGAAAUGCGCAGAUAUCAGGAGGAACACCGGUGGCGAAGGCGGAUCUCUGGGCCUUACCUGACGCUCAGGUGCGAAAGCUAGGGGAGCGAACAGG